rnacentral:SRP_RNA from 12 species
CUGCAUUGAAUGCCCCACAGCCUGGUGCCCAGCCUGCUAGGGGUUGGUGCAGUGUGGCGUGAGAAAUCUGUCACUCUCGU